UACGUAGGGUGCGAGCGUUAAUCGGAAUUACUGGGCGUAAAGCGUGCGCAGGCGGUUCGUUGUGUCGGCGGUGAAAGCCCCGGGCUCAACCUGGGAAUGGCCGUUGAAACUGGCGAACUGGAGUGUGGCAGAGGGGGGGUGGAAUUCCGCGUGUAGCAGUGAAAUGCGUAGAGAUGUGGAGGAACACCGAUGGCGAAGGCAGCCCCCCUGGGUCAACACUGACGCUCAUGCACGAAAGCGUGGGGAGCAAACAGG
rnacentral:rRNA from 1 species